GAUGAACGCUAGCGGCAGGCUUAAUACAUGCAAGUCGAGGGGUAACAUGGGUAGCAAUACCUGAUGACGACCGGCAAACGGGUGCGGAACACGUACGCAACCUUCCCAUAACUGGUGAAUAGCCUUUCGAAAGAGAGAUUAAUACACCGUAACAUAACGAGUAGGCAUCUACUUGUUAUUAUAGGCUUCGGCCGGUUUUGGAUGGGCGUGCGCCUGAUUAGGUAGUUGGCGGGGUAACGGCCCACCAAGCCUGCGAUCAGUAACUGGUGUGAGAGCACGACCAGUCACACGGGCACUGAGACACGGGCCCGACUCCUACGGGAGGCAGCAGUAAGGAAUAUUGGUCAAUGGACGAAAGUCUGAACCAGCCAUGCCGCGUGAAGGAUGAAGGCCCUCUGGGUUGUAAACUUCUUUUAUCUGGGACGAAAAAAGCUCAUUCUUGAGCACUUGACGGUACCAGAGGAAUAAGCACCGGCUAACUCCGUGC
rnacentral:rRNA from 1 species